CACGAUGUGCUGCUGACCUUGUACCUGAGCUCCAGGCAGCUCAGCACAUCCGGGGCAUUGGGAGCAAACACUUCAGGCAGGAAAAAACGAAGCCGUGCACUUUCCAAUCGGUGCCUCUGGAUUCUCCACAGUGCCCUCUGCUCCCGACGAGCUGCCUCUGCAGACAACUUGCUAUAGUGGUCCACCAGUGCCUGCCUGAAGCCAUACCCAGAGUGGACACAGUCACCAGUCACUGCACUGUCUACGCUGAAAUUGUUCUCGCUUCCGGGCAUCCAAGGCCAUCUGCUCGGACAUCUGCCGGUCUGUGUUGGAAGGCAAGAGGAAGUCAUGAG